UACGUAGGGGGCAAGCGUUGUCCGGAUUUAUUGGGCGUAAAGAGCGUGUAGGCGGCCAUGCAGGUCAGCUGUGAAAACUCGAGGCUCAACCUCGAAACGUCGGUUGAAACCGUAUGGCUAGAGUCCGGAAGAGGAGAGUGGAAUUCCCGGUGUAGCGGUGAAAUGCGCAGAUAUCGGGAAGAACACCUAUGGCGAAGGCAGCUCGCUGGGACGGUACUGACGCUGAGACGCGAAAGCGUGGGGAGCAAACAGG
rnacentral:rRNA from 1 species